GACGUAGGGCGCGAGCGUUUGUCCGGAUUUACUGGGCGUAAAGCGCACGUAGGCGGCUUUGUAAGUUAGAGGUGAAAGCCCGGAGCUCAACUCCGGAAUUGCCUUUAAGACUGCAUCGCUCGAAUCAUGGAGAGGUGAGUGGAAUUCCGAGUGUAGAGGUGAAAUUCGUAGAUAUUCGGAAGAACACCAGUGGCGAAGGCGACUCACUGGACAUGUAUUGACGCUGAGGUGCGAAAGCGUGGGGAGCAAACAGG
rnacentral:rRNA from 1 species